GAAGCUCGAUUCCUUUCUUUGAAGCCCUCGAACAAAACACACCCUUUGUUCGAAAUUUGAGGAUCCUAUUGAUAUGACUAAGUUUUGGGCAUUACUCUGAUACCAUGUUAAGAAUCACGACUCUCCGAUAUGAUAUUGUCCACCUUGAACAUAAGCUCCAUGGUUUUGCUUUGGGCUUCCCAAAAAGUCUCAUACCAAUGGAGAUAGUAUUCCUCACUUAUAAACUCAUGAUCUUCCACUAAAUUAACCAAUGUGGGACUCACCCCCAAUAAUCUUCAACAGACUUUGACCCAAACUAUGAA